rnacentral:rRNA from 15 species
AGUUUGACUGGGGCGGUCGCCUCCCAAAAAGUAACGGAGGCGUUCAAAGGUUCGCUCAGAAUGGACGGAAACCAUUCGAAGAGUACAAAGGCAAAAGCGAGCUUAACUGCGAGAUAUACAGAUCAAGCAGAGUAGAAAUACGGACUUAGUGAUCCGGUGGCACCGCAUGGAAGGGCCAUCGCUCAACGGAUAAAAGGUACUCUGGGGAUAACAGGCUGAUACCGCCCAAGAGUUCAUAUCGACGGCGGUGUUUGGCACCUCGAUGUCGGCUCAUCUCAUCCUGGGGCUGUAGCCGGUCCCAAGGGUAUGGCUGUUCGCCAUUUAAAGAGGUACGUGAGCUGGGUUUAAAACGUCGUGAGACAGUUUGGUCCCUAUCUGCCGUGGGCGUUGGAAAUUUGAAGGGGGCUGCUCCUAGUACGAGAGGACCGGAGUGGACGAACCUCUGGUGUACCGGUUGUCACGCCAGUGGCAUCGCCGGGUAGCUAUGUUCGGAAGAGAUAACCGCUGAAAGCAUCUAAGCGGGAAACUCGCCUUAAGAUGAGAUAUCCCCGGGGCUUCGAGCCCCUUGAAGGGUCGUUCAAGACCAGGACGUUGAUAGGUCAGGUGUG